AGUGAACGCUGGCGGUAGGCCUAACACAUGCAAGUCGAACGGCAGCACAGUAAGAGCUUGCUCUUACGGGUGGCGAGUGGCGGACGGGUGAGGAAUACAUCGGAAUCUACUUUUUCGUGGGGGAUAACGUAGGGAAACUUACGCUAAUACCGCAUACGACCUACGGGUGAAAGCAGGGGAUCUUCGGACCUUGCGCGUUUGAAUGAGCCGAUGUCGGAUUAGCUAGUUGGCGGGGUAAAGGCCCACCAAGGCGACGAUCCGUAGCUGGUCUGAGAGGAUGAUCAGCCACACUGGAACUGAGACACGGUCCAGACUCCUACGGGAGGCAGCAGUGGGGAAUAUUGGACAAAGGGCGCAAGCCUGAUCCAGCCAUACCGCGUGGGUGAAGAAGGCCUUCGGGUUGUAAAGCCCUUUUGUUGGGAAAGAAAAGCAGCAGGUUAAUACCCCGCUGUUCUGACGGUACCCAAAGAAUAAGCACCGGCUAACUUCGUG
rnacentral:rRNA from 1 species